rnacentral:rRNA from 1 species
CAGCCGCCACGGUAAUACGUAGGCAGCGAGCGUUGUUCGGAAUUACUGGGCGUAAAGAGUGCGUAGGCGGUGCUCUAAGUCUGUCGUGAAAUCUCCCGGCUUAACUGGGAGGGUGCGGCGGAAACUGGAAUGCUCGAGUAUGGGAGAGGUAAGCGGAAUUCCUGGUGUAGCGGUGAAAUGCGUAGAUAUCAGGAGGGACACCUGUGGUGUAGACAGCUUACUGGACCAUGACUGACGCUGAGGCACGAAAGCGUGGGUAGCAAACAGGAUUAGAUACCCCCGUAGUCCCUGUCUCUUAUAC